rnacentral:rRNA from 1 species
UACGUAGGGUGCGAGCGUUAAUCGGAAUUACUGGGCGUAAAGCGUGCGCAGGCGGUUCGUUGUGUCGGCGGUGAAAGCCCCGGGCUCAACCUGGGAAUGGCCGUUGAAACUGGCGAACUGGAGUGUGGCAGAGGGGGGUGGAAUUCCGCGUGUAGCAGUGAAAUGCGUAGAGAUGCAGAGGAACACCGAUGGCGAAGGCAGCCCCCUGGGCUGACACUGACGCUCAGGCACGAAAGCGUGGGGAGCAAACAGG